rnacentral:rRNA from 1 species
GACGAGCGCUGGCGGCGUGCUUAACACAUGCAAGUCGAACGGAAAGGCCUGCUUUCCCUUGUGGAUUGCGGGUACUCGAGUGGCGAACGGGUGAGUAACACGUGAGUGAUCUGCCCCCAACUUGGGUAUAAGCCUGGGAAACUGGGUCUAAUUCCCGAUAGGACUGCAGGGUGGUGCCUGUGGUGGAAAACGAUUUUCUAGUGGCUGGGGAUGAGCUCGCGGCCUAUCAGCUUGUUGGUGGGGUAAUGGCCUACCAAGGCGGCGACGGGUAGCCGGCCUGAGAGGGUGGACGGCCACAUUGGGACUGAGAUACGGCCCAGACUCCUACGGGAGGCAGCAGUGGGGAAUAUUGCACAAUGGGCGGAAGCCUGAUGCAGCGACGCCGCGUGGGGGAUGACGGCCUUCGGGUUGUAAACUCCUUUCGACCGCGAGGAAGCCACCUGGUUGGAAGGGUGGUGACGGUAGUGGUAGAAGAAGCACCGGCUAACUACGUG